rnacentral:lncRNA from 1 species
GUGUGAGAAGUGUAUUAUAACACUAUAUAACACCAUAUAAACACCGUAUAACAAUAUGUAACACCAUAUAACAUCAUAUAAUACUAUGUAACACUAUAUAACAAAUAUAACACUAUAGUUUGUCUGAUAGCAUGUCUAUGAUAGAUGUAUAGUGUUAUAUAUUGUUAUAUAGUGUCAUAUAGUGUUACAUAGUGUUAUAUGGUGUUACAUAUUGUUAUACGUGUUAUAAUACACUUCUCACAAUUCUGAAUUAAU